GCCUUCAUAGUGUAAUGGUCAGCACAUUCGGUUCGUAUUCGAGAGGUCCGUAUUCGAGAGUCCCGGCGAGGGCA
rnacentral:tRNA from 1 species